rnacentral:rRNA from 1 species
GAUGAACGCUGGCGGCGUGCCUAAUACAUGCAAGUCGAGCGAACAGACGAGGCGCUUGCUCCUCUGACGUUAGCGGCGGACGGGUGAGUAACACGUGGAUAACCUACCUAUAAGACUGAGAUACCUUCGGGAAACCGGAGCUAAUACCGGAUAAUAUAUUGAACCGCAUGGUUCAAUAGUGAAAGACGGUUUUGCUGUGACUUAUAGAUGGAUCCGCGCCGCAUUAGCUAGUUGGUAAGGUAACGGCUUACCAAGGCAACGAUGCGUAGCCGACCUGAGAGGGUGAUCGGCCACACUGGAACUGAGACACGGUCCAGACUCCUACGGGAGGCAGCAGUAGGGAAUCUUCCGCAAUGGGCGAAAGCCUGACGGAGCAACGCCGCGUGAGUGAUGAAGGUCUUCGGAUCGUAAAACUCUGUUAGUAGGGAAGAACAAAUGUGUAAGUAACUAUGCACGUCUUGACGGUACCUAAUCAGAAAGCCACGGCUAACUACGUG